rnacentral:rRNA from 1 species
AUGGCUGCUGCUGCGAUGGCGGCGGCGGAGUGGUUCAUCCUGUACGCCAUCCCGAAGGUGGCAGCGCAGGAGGAUGAUAGCAUCUUCGAGCAGCCCACCAACAUGUCCUUCACCUUCAGAAAAGCUCCGUGCCCCUCCUACGUAACUGUCGCGAGUAACGUCGUCAGUCCCGACGGCAUCAUCCACUACCCCUACAUCGCCGCGGACGACGGCCGCGGCAUCUUUCUCCUCUGCGGUUACACCGUGCUCGGGCUCACCUACUACCUCUUCGAUCCCUGGCGCCGCAGGACGCUGGGCGUCAUCCCUCGCGUGGGCGGCCUCAGGCUCCGCGACGUCGCCGGCCUCAUCCGCAGCGGCGGCGGCGACCGCCUCAUGGUCGCCGAGCUCAACACGUGGCUCCUCGACGACCGUGGCUCCGUCACGAUCCACUGCACGGUCGACAUGUACGGCUGGGACGAGAAGAAGUGCAAGUGCUCCGGCAUCACGGCCAAGAGACCGUGGAACGGAGACGGCGUCCUGUCCCACCAAGGCUUCCUCUGGUGGUUUGAUCUCUCCUACUGCAUCCUCGCCUGCGACCCCUUCGCCCCGGUGCCGGAGUUUUACCAGAUCAUGUUCCCGUCCGUCCCUGACGCUCUGCCCUUCGGCUGGAACCGCGACAUACACCGCUGCUUAAAGGUGAGCGACGGCCAGCUGCGCUACGUUCAGAUCCAUGGUGCAUCUGAGAAGCCGGUGGUCAGCAUCUGGACGCUGUCAUCCAGUGAUCCGUCAAAGGCGACAUGGGGAAGCCCGACCAGCCUCCCCUUGGAUGUGGUUUGGGAGGACAGCAGCUACAGUGAUGAUGCCCGGUUGCGUCCGGGGGUCGUCCCUGCUUUGCCGCUGGUCCACCCCAUGAACGCCAACGAGGUCUACUUCUUCUUGGACACAUGCAUCUUCGCCAUCGACCUCACAAAGAAAAAGGUCGUCUGCUGCGAGGAGUUCGGCAUUGGGUGGCUGCCGCCCAAAAUCCGCACCUCCCGCCUGGUCCAUGCUUGGCAGUGGCCGCGGCCGCGGCCGGUGAAGGUCACCAAGAUGAGUCCUCAGUCUGGGCCUGACGGGUUUCAUGUCAACGAGAUUGGUUUAUUGACUCGGUGGAAGUCCGUGAAGGAUUUCCAUAACAGAGCUGCCAUCAUCAUGAGGUCGCGUUCCGAACUAGAUGACACGGAUCUCGACGAUGACUCAGUUGACUCGGAUACGAGCGAGGAGGAGAUUUAG